rnacentral:rRNA from 1 species
UAGUCCACGCCGUAAGCGAUGGAUACUAGAUGUCGGGAGCUUAUACCCUCUCGGUGUCGUAGCUAACGCGUUAAGUAUCCCGCCUGGGGACUACGGUCGCAAGACUAAAACUCAAAGAAAUUGACGGGGGCCCGCACAAGCGGUGGAGGAUGUCCUUUAAUUCGAUGUUCCGCGAAAAACCUUACCUGGGCUUGACAUCCCGCGCUACCCUAAGAGAUUAGGGGUUCCUUCGGGACGCGGUGACAGGUGCUGCAUGGCUGUCGUCAGCUCGUGUCGUGAGAUGUUGGGUUAAGUCCCGCAACGAGCGCAACCCUUGCCAUUAGUUGCCAGCAUUAAGUUGGGCACUCUAAUGGAACCGCUUGCCGAUAAGGCAGAGGAAGGUGAGGGACGAGGUCAAGUCCGCAUGGCCCUUACGCCCAGGGGCUAGAGACGUCCUACAAUGGAUAUCACAGAGCGUUGCAAUACCGCGAGGUGGAGCUAAUCG